rnacentral:rRNA from 1 species
UACGAAGGGUGCAAGCGUUACUCGGAAUUACUGGGCGUAAAGCGUGCGUAGGUGGUGCGUUAAGUCUGUCGUGAAAUCCCCGGGCUCAACCUGGGAAUGGCGAUGGAUACUGGCGCGCUAGAGUGAGGUAGAGGAGAGUGGAAUUCCCGGUGUAGCAGUGAAAUGCGUAGAUAUGUGGAGGAAUACCGAUGGCGAAGGCAGCCCCCUGGGUCGAUACUGACGCUCAUGCACGAAAGCGUGGGGAGCAAACAGG